UGUCUAGGGGACACUCAAGUAGCUCCCAGGAAAGUCCAUGUGACAAGGAACUGAGCUAUCUGCCAACAGCUGAUGAGGAACGGAGGCAAUCCAUGAACAUCCAGUGGGUGAGCCAUCUUAGAAGCAUACCCUCAAGUUGCAGUAAAACCUUUUGAUGAUGGCAGCUCCUGCUGACAUCUCCACCACAACCUCCUAAGAGACCUGGAGCUGGAACCACUCAGCUGAAGAAAGAAUCAUAGAUGUUAAAUGAUCUGCCUGGGAUCUCGAAGCUGGUCAGAAGCACAACCGGAAUUAGAAUGUCUAGUUUGGGGUAAAUAUGAUAGCUGGAGCUGGAGCAGCCAUAUUGGGUCAAGAGACAGAGCCACAGUUGAGGAUGACAGAGCAAUUAGAGACAGCCUGCGUCCCUGAUACUAUACAGCUGCCAUACAUCAACAGUCCUGCCCAUCUAAAUUGUCAGGUGAGAGAGAACAAAGUUUUAUAUUAUUUGAGCCUCUGUGUUUUGGUCUUUUUCUUUUUCUUUUUUCAUUACAGCAGCCUGAGUAGAUUUUAUCUAAU